AUGUGAAGUCUGGCCUGCCCACUGAAUACAUUUAAAGGGCCGCGGUAUACUAACCGUGCGAAGGUAGCAUAGUCAAUAGUCUUUUAAUUGGAGGCUUGAAUGAACGGUCGGACAUGGGGAUGGCUGUCUGUGACUUAAGGGUAUGAAUUUAACUUUUGUGUGAAAAGGCAUUAAUAUUUUAAAGGGACGAUAAGACCCUAUAAAACUUGACAUUUAGGCCUGGGCCCUAGAAUUUAGGUAUAAUUGAGGGUGGUGGUAGUUUGUUGUGCUGGGGCGGCUAGAAUAUAAGAUAUAGUAACUGUUCUUUAUAUUGAAUAAUGAUUAUUAGGUGUUGACCCUGAAUUUUAGGUUAAAAGAUUAAGUUACUUUAGGGAUAACAGCGUUAUUUUCCUUGAGAGUUCAUAUCGACAGGGAUAUUUGCGACCUCGAUGUUGAAUUAAAGUUUUCUUCGGGAGUAGAAGUUCGGAGGAUAGGUCUGUUCGACCUUUAAAACUUUACAUGAUUUGAGUUC
rnacentral:rRNA from 1 species